CCUACGGGUGGCAGCAGUGAGGAAUAUUGGUCAAUGGACGCAAGUCUGAACCAGCCAUGCCGCGUGCAGGAUGACGGCUCUAUGAGUUGUAAACUGCUUUUGUACGAGGGUAAACCCCGAUACGUGUAUCGGGUUGAAAGUAUCGUACGAAUAAGGAUCGGCUAACUCCGUGCCAGCAGCCGCGGUAAUACGGAGGAUCCGAGCGUUAUCCGGAUUUAUUGGGUUUAAAGGGUGCGUAGGCGGUUUGAUAAGUUAGAGGUGAAAUGUUGGGGCUCAACCCCGAAACUGCCUCUAAUACUGUUAGACUAGAGAAUAGUUGCGGUAGGCGGAAUGUAUGGUGUAGCGGUGAAAUGCUUAGAGAUCAUACAGAACACCGAUUGUGAAGGCAGCUUACCAAACUAUAUCUGACGUUGAGGCACGAAAGCGUGGGUAGCAAACAGGAUUAGAUACCCGGGUAGUC
rnacentral:rRNA from 1 species